rnacentral:rRNA from 1 species
GAUGAACGCUGGCGGCGUGCCUAAUACAUGCAAGUCGAGCGAACAGACGAGGAGCUUGCUCCUCUGACGUUAGCGGCGGACGGGUGAGUAACACGUGGAUAACCUACCUAUAAGACUGGGAUAACUUCGGGAAACCGGAGCUAAUACCGGAUAAUAUAUUUAACCGCAUGGUUCAAUAGUGAAAGACGGUUUUGCUGUCACUUAUAGAUGGAUCCGCGCCGCAUUAGCUAGUUGGUAAGGUAACGGCUUACCAAGGCAACGAUGCGUAGCCGACCUGAGAGGGUGAUCGGCCACACUGGAACUGAGACACGGUCCAGACUACUAAGGGAGGCAGCAGUAGGGAAUCUGACGCAAUGGGCGAAAGCAUGACGGAGCAACGCCGCGUGAGUGAUGAAGGUCUUCGGAUCGUAAAACUCUGUUAUUAGGGAAGAACAAAUGUGUAAGUAAAUAUGCACGUCGUGACGGUACCUAAUCAGAAAGCCACGGCUAACUACGUG